GGUGUAGCGCAGCUUGGCUAGCGCACUAGCAUGGGGUGCUAGGGGUCGGAGGUUCAAAUCCUCUCACC
rnacentral:tRNA from 1 species